GAUGAACGCUGACAGAAUGCUUAACACAUGCAAGUCAACUUGAAUUUGGGUUUUUAACUUAGGUUUGGGUGGCGGACGGGUGAGUAACGCGUAAAGAACUUGCCUCACAGCUAGGGACAACAUUUGGAAACGAAUGCUAAUACCUAAUAUUAUGAUAAUAGGGCAUCCUAUAAUUAUGAAAGCUAUAAGCGCUGUGAGAGAGCUUUGCGUCCCAUUAGCUAGUUGGAGAGGUAACGGCUCGCCAAGGCGAUGAUGGGUAGCCGGCCUGAGAGGGUGAUCGGCCACAAGGGGACUGAGACACGGCCCUUACUCCUACGGGAGGCAACAGUGGGGAAUAUUGGACAAUGGACCAAGAGUCUGAUCCAGCAAUUCUGUGUGCACGAUGAAGUUUUUCGGAAUGUAAAGUGCUUUCAGUUGGGAAGAAAGAAAUGACGGUACCAACAGAAGAAGUGACGGCUAAAUACGUG
rnacentral:rRNA from 1 species